rnacentral:misc_RNA from 1 species
CAUGUGCCGUCUCCCCUCUAACCUCGGUCUCAGUCGCAAGACACUUUCAGGGGCUUUUGAAACGAGAGAACAGAGCAUGCACACUCCUCUCGCCCACGCUGUUGCGGUGCUUGUGGUUUUACUUUGUUCCGGCUCUUACAAACCUCUUUUCCGUGCGCUAAACGUCGCGUUUCCAUCGUCAAGGUGAAUACCUUCGUCAACGUUAACGUUGUUUGUCUCCCAUUUUCAAGCGUAGCUCAAACAGCUCUAUAGGGGAACUGAUGCUAUCAUCUCUGUCAGCGCGUCCAUUCUCUGCUAUAGAGCAUGAUUUCAAGCGCCACCCUACCCUCCCCGUGACCCUGUUACGUGUCCCAUCGCGUGGUGCGACGCAGCACUGCCCACACGCAUUACCGCAAUGCCCCAAGACAGUGAUCCGCGCGCGGCCUCUCUCUCAUGCUGUGCACCCACUCAUCCCCCGCUCCGCAGGUCGCCUCACGGCCGCUCCAACUUUGCCGGUCGCCACCCGGUGCAUCCCCGCACCAGCAAGGCAGUGUGAGGGCCGGGCGAGAGAUGCGCUCCAGCCACGCUGACACGCUGCCUAAUCAUAUGGAUGGCGCAGACGUGUGCGCAGUCGCAGGCUGCCCCAGCACAACGCCGUCCAGGGCCUCACCGCCGACAUCGGUAGCGACAAAAUCGCACUGGCUUCCCCUCCCUCACGUCGUGGGCGCGUGGCCCUGUCACCAGCAGAAGCGGUCCGGGACUGGCAGGGAUAGGGUGGGCUGCUCGGCUAUCCCACGCAAGGCUGGUGCACCGGACCUUGUGAUGCCACGCUGAAGUGUCCCCCGCCAUCAGGAGGGACUGGGGUUUGAACAGACACAGAAAUAGAUGUGAGAGAGCGACAACACAUCGGAGCCUCCGAUAUAUAUAUAUAUAUAUAUAUAUGCGUGUGUGUGUGUGCAUGUGUGCGAGCACAGCGCACCGUGCACCGCUGCACGCGUCAAUACAGUAGAGCCCCUCUCCCCCCCCAUACACACCCAGUUAUUAUGUGUGUGCUCCUGUGCGCUCCGUGGUGAACCGAGCAUCAUGCCGUAGCAGAAACACAUACACACACAAGCACAAAAGAGAAUACAGGAAGGCGAGAAACCCAAGAAAGCGGCAGCACCGCCUUGUCGUUAUAUUUUCUUUUCCUGUUCAUCAGCUGAAAUAGGGGAGAGGGGGGAGAUAUCUAUUUUUAUGUUCUCUCGUUAGCCAUUUUCCACGUCUGCUUUCUGCUAUUCUUUCUUUUGGAUCCCUCGUCUCUUGUCUCUUCUCGCCGCAUUCUUCUGCUUGACUUGCUCAG